GCUAGUGGGAGGAGAGAGCGCGGGGUGGGGUGGCAGGAGGAGGCUGCAGAGAAGGGGGGCUGUAUAAAAAGCUGAGAAGCGUGAGGCCAACGAAGUGCGGGAAAGGCUUGGGGAGGGUUACUCAGGGCAGAAAAAUCCCUUAGUUUGUCCAGAGCUGUAUUCUAGGUUCAGGAAAGGGAGGGAGAAAAUGGGGGUUCCGUCUUUGAACUGGGUCAGAAGUACAAAGAGUUCAAAAAUUGUCUUCCUGCCAGAGAAAGAGAAGCAUUUCGUUCUUUCGAGAAAGAAUGGAAGUGAAGGAGCAUGGGAUAAUAGUGAUGUAGUUUAUUAUAAAUGAUUAUCUCAGCUUCAAAGAAAUCAUUAAUCAGUUCCUGAGUGGGGAAUCUGGUGGAGCAGAAAAGAAAAGGUGGUUUAAUUCUGAAUCAGGGAAAUUGAUUUGACAGCUUGGUUCAUCUGGGACCCCGGUUUUCAGGGAGGCUGAAAAUAUAUCAAGGAACUAGUAUAAAAGGAAGCAAGCAACAUGACAUCAUUCUUAAAAGACUAAAGGUGAAGAAUCUUCUACUGUCAACAUAUUUAUUGAGGGACCUCCUCUUUCCAGUUACAUCUACUCAUCCUAUCUAGCAGAUCCAGCAGGAGAGGCAUGUUACAUGUCCUAUCUAUUAAGAAAUGUAAUCUCACAAGAUCUAGGAAGAGAGAGUUUUUUUGUCAUGAUGUUUGCCCUCAUUCCCACAGAACCUAGACUGAAACCUACCCUUCUGAUGGGGCCUGAAGACUUGGAUGUGCCAUCGUGCCUCGAGGUCUGACAGUAAUAGUGAACCUUUGGCAAUGAUUAUAUUAAAUGGAUGUACGGUUUAUAUUCACCAACUGAAUAUGCUUCAUGUUUUACUAUCUAAGCUGCUGCACCCUUCCACUUACCACAGUGUGAAGAGCUCAUAGAUUCUCCAAAAUAUUGUGAAUCUGUGCAGCCAUUCAGCCAAGGAGAAUUGUGUAUCCUUUGACCCACUAAAUCCACGCAUAAUUUACAACUUAGAUGAAACACUUUUUUCACUAUUAGUCCUCAAACUACAUCCAUGCAUUUAGUGAUCUUUCAAAGUUAUGAUAUUACUGAAUGAAUGGUAGUUACAAUAAGCCCUUGAAAUUCUGGCCAUUGCAACAUCUUGGUAAUGUGAUCCAAAUUUAGAUGCUUGUAAGAACCCAUAUCUAUGACCAGUUACAGCAUCACAUGAGCACAACUGGGACUGCUGAAACUGCUUUACUAAGCAGCAUAGUUAUGUGUCUUGCAUGACCACUUCACUUGAUGAAAAUCCUGAUCCCAAUUAGAAUCAUAAUCCAAGGACUUCCUAUACUUUCAAGAUACUAUCUAGAACAAGCAUACUAUUUCUAACACCUCAUAUCCUGGGACAAUAAGCAAACAUAGUUCAUACCAAACCAAACUAUGUUUUUAAAAAUACUGCACAGAUAUUCCCAGAUGGAUACUGCACUGUUAGAUUUCUACAUUGAAAGCUAUCGCUAAUAAGACCAAGCCACAAUUAUGUAUUCUCCUGAUACAAUAAUAUUAAUAGAGCAGAAUGCCAUUUAAGAUUCCAAGAACAACAGCUGACAAUGGAGGGCAGUUGUCAUGAUUACAGUUGAUUAUGUUAAGGAAGCUGAGAAUUAACUCUCCAACCAACCACUAUAUACAAACAAGAACCACCAUCUCACUCUGGCAAUAAUUGGUUGGCAACUGCUGGAGAUGGAAUGUUGGGCUAAGGAGAUGAUAUUCGCUGCCAAUUAUGCAGUUUAGUUCCUGUCCUGUUCCUGUUUAGGAAUAAUAAAGAUUUCCCAUAGCCUGGUUGAUUGUGAGGAUGGACAAUAACAAUUGGCAAGUACAUUGAACCUUGACAAAUAUACAGUGAUUUUUUUAAAAAAAGUAUUAAAUUACAGGAAAUAAAUACUUUAUUAUUUAAUACCUAAAAACAAUAAGAAAAUG